AUGUCAUAUAUAGCACGAGAUGCGCAUACACGGCCAUGUAUGCAGAUUUGCUUAGAAGAUCUGCAGUGCUACUUCUGGCCUGCUCAUCAAAAGAUUCAUCUCAUCACCUAUUGUAUUACUGUACAUGUUGGAUCCUUUUCAGUUUUCACGAUACCCAAAGAACUAAAGAUACAACAAAUUUCUAAUCUACUAUUGGUUAUUUUCCUCUUAUGUUCUCAUGGAUGCAAGCAAAGCAGUAGCCUCUAUAGAUGUUUGAUCCUUUUCGUCUUACUCCAAAUACACCUGAUCAUGGACGUCGUGAUUAAGGCAUGGCCCCAAACAGCAGCCGUGUACAAGGAGACUAUUUCUGCCUUUCUGGUGUCGCUCAUUCCUAACAUUUUUUUUCCAAACCAACCUAUGGAGAAGGCCUUUUUGUUUCUCUUGUAA
rnacentral:rRNA from 1 species